rnacentral:rRNA from 1 species
CCCUUAGAUGUUCUGGGCCGCACGCGCGCUACACUGACGAAGUCAGCGAGCAUGUCCUACGCCGACAGGUGCGGGGAAUCUUGUCAAACUUCGUCGUGAUGGGGAUUGAUUAUUGAAAUUCUUGAUCAUAAACGAGGAAUUCCUAGUAAGCGCAAGUCAGCAGCUUGCGUUGAUUACGUCCCUGCCCUUUGUACACACCGCCCGUCGCUACUACCGAUUGAAUGGUUUAGUGAGAUCUUCGGAUUGGCGCCACUGCGGCUCAGCAAUGGGCUCGGUGGAUGCCGAAAAGUUGAUCAAACUUGAUCAUUUAGAGGAAGUAAAAGUCGUAACA